UACGUAGGGUGCAAGCGUUGUCCGGAAUUAUUGGGCGUAAAGAGCUCGUAGGCGGUUUGUCGCGUCUGCUGUGAAAACUCGGGGCUUAACCCCGGGCCUGCAGUGGGUACGGGCAGACUAGAGUGCGGUAGGGGAGACUGGAAUUCCAGGUGUAGCGGUGAAAUGCGUAGAUAUCGGAGGAACACCGGUGGCGAAGGCGGCGUUCGUGGACUGCAACUGACACUGAGGAACGAAAGCCAGGGGAGCAAACGGG
rnacentral:rRNA from 1 species